rnacentral:rRNA from 1 species
GAUGAACGCUGGCGGCGUGCCUAAUACAUGCAAGUCGAGCGAACAGACGAGGAGCUUGCUCCUCUGACGUUAGCGGCGGACGGGUGAGUAACACGUGGAUAACCUACCUAUAAGACUGGGAUAACUUCGGGAAACCGGAGCUAAUACCGGAUAAUAUAUUGAACCGCAUGGUUCAAUAGUGAAAGACGGUUUUGCUGUCACUUAUAGAUGGAUCCGCGCCGCAUUAGCUAGUUGGUAAGGUAACGGCUUACCAAGGCAACGAUGCGUAGCCGACCUGAGAGAGUGAUCGGCCACACCGGAACUGAGACACGGUCCAGACUCCUACGGGAGGCAGCAGUAGGGAAUCUUCCGCAAUGGGCGAAAGCUUUACGGAGCAACGCCGCGUGAGUGAUGAAGGUCUUCGGAUCGUAAAACUCUGUUAUUAGGGAAGAACAAAUGUGUAAGUAACUAUGCACGUCUUGACGGUACCUAGUCAGAAAGCCACGGCUAACUACGUG